GAUGAACGCUGGCGGCGUGCUUAACACAUGCAAGUCGAACGGUGAAGCAGAGCUUGCUCUGUGGAUCAGUGGCGAACGGGUGAGUAACACGUGAGCAACCUGCCCCUGACUCUGGGAUAAGCGCUGGAAACGGCGUCUAAUACUGGAUAUGAGCUGCGACCGCAUGGUCAGCAGUUGGAAAGAUUUUUCGGUCUGGGAUGGGCUCACGGCCUAUCAGCUUGUUGGUGAGGUAAUGGCUCACCAAGGCGUCGACGGGUAGCCGGCCUGAGAGGGUGACCGGCCACACUGGGACUGAGACACGGCCCAGACUCCUACGGGAGGCAGCAGUGGGGAAUAUUGCACAAUGGGCGAAAGCCUGAUGCAGCAACGCCGCGUGGGGGAUGACGGUCUUCGGGUUGUAAACCUCUUUUAGCAGGGAAGAAGCCAAAGUGACGGUACCUGCAGAAAAAGCGCCGGCUAACUACGUG
rnacentral:rRNA from 1 species